GACAGAGUAGCUUACCCCACUAAAAGCAUAACACUGAAAAUGUUAAUACGGUUCAAGAUAACCCUCUCUCA
rnacentral:tRNA from 1 species